CCUACGGGGGGCUGCAGUCGAGGAUCUUCGGCAAUGGGCGAAAGCCUGACCGAGCGACGCCGCGUGGAUGAUGAAGGCCUUCGGGUUGUAAAAUCCUGUCGAGGGGGAUCAAGGGCAACUUGAGUGAUCCCUGGAGGAAGCACGGGCUAAGUUCGUGCCAGCAGCCGCGGUAAGACGAACCGUGCAAACUUUAUUCGGAAUCACUGGGCAUAAAGGGCGCGUAGGCGGCUGUCUAAGUCAGGGGUGAAAGCCGGCAGAUCAACGGUCGCAGUGCCUUUGAUACUGGAGAGCUCGAGGGAGGUAGGGGUCUGUGGAACGUGAGGUGGAGCGGUGAAAUGCGUUGAUAUCGGAAGGAACGCCGGUGGCGAAAGCGACGGACUGGAUCUCGUCUGACGCUGAGGCGCGAAAGCCAGGGGAGCAAACGGGAUUAGAUACCCCAGUAGUC
rnacentral:rRNA from 1 species